rnacentral:rRNA from 1 species
AGCACGCCGCGUGUAGUGAUGAAGGGUUUCGGCAUCGUAAAACACUGUUGUAAGAGAAGAACGACUGUGAGAGUGCUGUUCCACGUGUGACCGGUUCUUACCCAAAAGGGGCCGGUAAAUACCUGCCCACCACCCCGGUAAUACCUUUGUUCCCGACCUUUGUCGGAUUUAUUGGGCGUAAAGCCAACCCCAAGCGGUAUAUAAGUUUGAAGUGAAAGCGCUCUGCUUAACUGAUGAAUUGCUUUGGAAACUGGAUGACUUGAGUGCAGAAGAGGAAAGUGGAACUCCAUGUGUAGCGGUGAAAUGCGUAGAUAUAUGGAAGAA